GACGAACGCUGGCGGCGUGCUUAACACAUGCAAGUCGAGCGGUAAGGCCCUUUCGGGGGUACGACGAGCGGCGAACGGGUGAGUAACACGUGGGUGACCUGCCCUUAGCUCUGGGAUAAGCCUGGGAAACUGGGUCUAAUACCGGAUAUGACUCCAUGACGCAUGUUGUGGGGUGGAAAGCCUUGUGCGGCUAGGGAUGGGCCCGCGGCCUAUCAGCUUGUUGGUGGGGUGAUGGCCACCAAGGCGACGACGGGUAGCCGGCCUGAGAGGGCGACCGGCCACACUGGGACUGAGACACGGCCCAGACUCCUACGGGAGGCAGCAGUGGGGAAUCUUGCGCAAUGGGCGAAAGCCUGACGCAGCGACGCCGCGUGGGGAUGACGGCCU
rnacentral:rRNA from 1 species